rnacentral:rRNA from 1 species
UACGUAGGGUGCGAGCGUUAAUCGGAAUUACUGGGCGUAAAGCGUGCGCAGGCGGUUUUGUAAGCCAGAUAUGAAAUCCCCGGGCUUAACCUGGGAAUGGCAUUUGGGACUGCAAGGCUGGAGUUUGGCAGAGGAGACUGGAAUUCCUGGUGUAGCAGUGAAAUGCGUAGAUAUCAGGAGGAACACCGAUGGCGAAGGCAGGUCUCUGGGCCUUACCUGACGCUCAGGUGCGAAAGCUAGGGGAGCGAACAGG